rfam:Triticum urartu cultivar G1812 contig814328, whole genome shotgun sequence.
AUUGUACUCCCUCCGUCCAGAAAUACUUGUCAGAGAAAUGGAUGUAUCUAAAUGUAUUUUAGUUUUAGAUACAUCCAUUUUUAUCCAUUUUUCCGACAAGUAUUUCGGGACGGAGGGAGUAUAUG